CCCCGCAGCGCCCCCUGCAGCCCAGCGCCGCCGGGCCCCGGGGCAGGCCGUGCUGCGAAGGCAUCCGGCUUCGUGUCAAUAAAGGACAGAGGACAACCGGACUGUCCUCUAUGAUGGCCACCCUACGAAGGAGGCUUCUCCAGGCUGGACGACCCCUCCUCCAGCAGCACUCUGCUGCCACUAGCACAAAGCCCGGCUUGGUAGUGCCUUUGCCAUAUUCGGAUUUGUUCAGCUGUCGGGAAGCCACAUCCUGCCAGCCCUUUUGCUUUCAUGCCAUUGUCUCUGCCUUUUCACUUAGUGCAUUGUUGAGGCCUCCCUUUAUCGGGCACCAAAUCAGGCUCACACGAGCUCACGUUGUACCGCGCUCAGCCAAGCCCCCGCACCUCGUGGAGGAAUUGCUUCGUGCCACUGGCAUGUACUGGAAGGUGCCCAACGUGCUGGUUGAGGCAAAGCUAACGGGGACUUCCAGCAGAGGACGCUUCCUCAGAGCAACGCUCUACGGGCACCAUCUGGGACUCCAGCUGUGGGGCUUCCUCACAGUGGCGACCUCUGUAUAUGUCCUAGAGUUCAGGCCACCCACUCACCGUCACAACAGACAAGGCACAAGCUGAGCUCCAAGCUGGCCCAUUCACUGUACAUGCCAGCUUGGCUUCAGCUGCCUGGCCCUGAUGUGCUUUAUCAAUGCCUCCUUGCCUAGCAGGCAGGCACAGCCAUCACUUGCAGACCCAGCCCAUAUUUUGAUUGGUGCAGCCUCUGGGCAACUGGCACCUUGGGAUGUUCCUAAGCACCUUAGUAAAUGCCUGAAAGGGGAAAUAGCCCUGGUGGGAUGCAAGCUGGCAUCACAGGGUGCAGGCACUUUAGAAAGAAACCAACCAAGUUCAGAAAGUAUGUGGUGGGCUAGGGAUGUUUCAGGUCCUGGUAAAAAGGCCACCACCUGCCUGGGUCCCACUGCUGGCAACUUUACUGCUCUUUGAGGUAGAGCAAGGCAGGGACAGAGGCCUCAGCAUUUGCACAGGAAAGGGAGGAGUCGUGUGUGGGGUUGGAGAUAGGGGAGAAGGCUGAUGCUGAUAGUCAGUCAGCACUUAAAUGGUGUUAAAGUUCUGUACAUACAUUAAUUCCUACAAACCUUACAUUACAGGGAAAGAGGGGAAGCAGCUGCUUCAAGGUCAUGCGUGUAGUCUCACUGCCAGAGCCAGGAUUAGAGCUCAGGGUGUCCAUCUUGCACUGUCAGGGGUCUGCACAGGCUGAGACUCUCCACCCUCCCACCCUGGCCUGUCAGCUCAGGAAAUAAAGCAGCGCCACUUAUGUUCCCUCCCUCGUGCUGGCAGGAAGCUGCUACCCAGCCUCAAAAAGAAAAGGCAGCACCUCCCUUCCCCUGCUAUUGUUUGCUGCCCUGGAUGUAGCAUCUUGCAUUAAACUGGACUGUCACCUCUCCUUGGCAGGGCUGGGUUUGUGUGCUGUCUGGCUUAGCCAUGCUCCAUUCUGGGAAGGGCCUCUGGGAGCCAUCACUAUACAGACAAUGAAGUCAGAACAAGGGGAAAUGAGGCCAGAGCUGUGCUAGAUCCUCUUCUGGGUCCCAGAC